GGGGGUGUAGCUCAGAUGGUUAGAGCGCCGGCCUGUCACGCCGGAGGUCGCGGGUUCGAUCCCCGUCACUCCCGCCA
rnacentral:tRNA from 1 species